rnacentral:rRNA from 1 species
UACGUAGGUGGCAAGCGUUACUCGGAAUCACUAGGCGUAAAGCGCAGGUAGGCGGUUUGGUAAGUUUCUUGUGAAAGCUCCCGGCUUAACUGGGAGAGGCCAAGGAAAACUACCAGGCUAGAGUGUGGUAGAGGAUGCUGGAAUUCCCGGUGUAGCGGUGAAAUGCGUAGAUAUCGCUUGGAACGCCAAAGGUGAAAACAGGUUGCGGGGGUUGUGCCGACGCUGAGACACGAAAGCCAGGGGAGCAAACGGG